rnacentral:misc_RNA from 1 species
GAUGAAGAACGCAGCGAAAUGCGAUAAGUAAUGUGAAUUGCAGAAUUCAGUGAAUCAUCGAAUCUUUGAACGCACAUUGCGCCCGCCAGUAUUCUGGCGGGCAUGCCUGUCCGAGCGUCAUUUCAACCCUCGAACCCCUCCGGGGGGUCGGCGUUGGGGACCUCGGGAGCCCCUAAGACGGGAUCCCGGCCCCGAAAUACAGUGGCGGUCUCGCCGCAGCCUCUCCUGCGCAGUAGUUUGCACAACUCGCACCGGGAGCGCGGCGCGUCCACGUCCGUAAAACACCCAACUUCUGAAAUGUUGAUCUCGGAUCAGGUAGGAAUACCCGCUGAACUUAAGCAUAUCAAUAACGGAGGA